rnacentral:misc_RNA from 1 species
UCGUCAGAACUACCAUUGCUAGAUAUCAGAUAAAUUCUUCAGUGACACCCAAAUCCAUCAAGUUUAGGAAUAACGUUCACGGUAAACCAGAGGUAGAUUGGUCAUGCAGUUACAAUUGGGAGCCUCCCGCGUUGCAUUUUAACAUCACACAUACAUCAUCUCUGAUAGCCUGUGGUGUGACAGUAAAUUCUCCUAUCGGUGUGGACGUGGAGGAAAAAGAAAGGACAACGAAGCACAACAUAUUGACGUUAGCUAGAAGAUACUUCUCCAAACAUGAGCUUGAAGUGUUAACUGCUAUUGGAGAUCCCUAUAUCCAGCAGCAGGAGUUUAUAAAGUUAUGGACGCUGAAGGAGGCAUAUGUUAAAGCACUUGGGAAGGGUUUCUCAGGUGCACCUUUCAAGACGUUUACCAUUCGUCUUGGGAGCUCUACUGGAG